rnacentral:misc_RNA from 1 species
UAACCUUAGUGCCGUUGUUGGGCUUAGUGGCUGGCUUCCCUGUUCGAGAUCUUUGAGGAACCAGAUCAGUGUGUCACAUGAAGCUGUAAGGCGUGCUGCGUCUCUGCCCAUUUUACUCUGUCAUGGUUCAGGUGACGACGUCGUUGCUUUCAAACAUGGGGAGAAAUCUGCACAUACUUUAAGUUCAGCUGGAUUUAGAAAUCUAACAUUUAAAACCUAUAACGGGCUGGGCCAUUACACCAUUCCUG